AUUGAACGCUGGCGGCAUGCUUUACACAUGCAAGUCGGACGGCAGCACAGAGAAGCUUGCUUCUUGGGUGGCGAGUGGCGAACGGGUGAGUAAUAUAUCGGAACGUACCGAGCAGUGGGGGAUAACUAAUCGAAAGAUUAGCUAAUACCGCAUAUUUUCUGAGGAAGAAAGCAGGGGACCAUUUGGCCUUGCGCUGUUUGAGCGGCCGAUAUCUGAUUAGCUAGUUGGUGGGGUAAAGGCCUACCAAGGCGACGAUCAGUAGCGGGUCUGAGAGGAUGAUCCGCCACACUGGGACUGAGACACGGCCCAGACUCCUACGGGAGGCAGCAGUGGGGAAUUUUGGACAAUGGGCGCAAGCCUGAUCCAGCCAUGCCGCGUGUCUGAAGAAGGCCUUCGGGUUGUAAAGGACUUUUGUCAGGGAAGAAAAGGACAGGGUUAAUACCCCUGUCUGAUGACG
rnacentral:rRNA from 1 species